ACACCGUGGGCUGCGGGCGCGGUGGAGCCCGGGGACGGCCUGGUGUCCGGGGCCGAGGUGACACCGUGGGCUGGGGGGGCGGUGGAGCCCGGGGCCGGCCUGGUGUCCGGGGCCGAGGUGACACCGUGGGCUGGGGGGGCGGUGGAGCCCGGGGCCGGCCUGGUGUCCGGGGCCGAGGUGACACCGUGGGCUGGGGGGGCGGUGGAGCCCGGGGCCGGCCUGGUGUCCGGGGCCGAGGUGACACCGUGGGCUGGGGGGGCGGUGGAGCCCGGGGCCGGCCUGGUGUCCGGGGCCGAGGUGACACCGUGGGCUGGGGGGGCGGUGGAGCCCGGGGCCGGCCUGCUCUCCGGGGCCGAGGUGACACCGUGGGCUGCUCUCGCGGUGGAGCCCGGGGCCGGCCUGCUCUCCGGGGCCGAGGUGACACCGUGGGCUGGGGGGGCGGUGGAGCCCGGGGCCGGCCUGGUGUCCGGGGCCGAGGUGACACCGUGGGCUGGGGGGGCGGUGGAGCCCGGGGCCGGCCUGGUGUCCGGGGCCGAGGUGACACCGUGGGCUGGGGGGGCGGUGGAGCCCGGGGCCGGCCUGGUGUCCGGGGCCGAGGUGACACCGUGGGCUUGGGGGGCGGUGGAGCCCGGGGCCGGCCUGGGGUCCGGGGCCGAGGUGACACCGUGGGCUGGGGGGGCGGUGGAGCCCGGGGCCGGCCUGGUGUCCGGGGCCGAGGUGACACCGUGGGCUUGGGGGGCGGUGGAGCCCGGGGCCGGCCUGGUGUCCGGGGCCGAGGUGACACCGUGGGCUGCGGGCGCGGUGGAGCCCGGGGCGGGCCUGGUGUCCGGGGCCGAGGUGACACCGUGGGCUGCGGGCGCGGUGGAGCCCGGG
rnacentral:lncRNA from 1 species